AUUGAACGCUGGCGGCACGCCUAACAUAUGCAAGUCGAGCGGUAACAUGGUGUGUAGCAAUACACACUGAUGACGAGCGGCGGACGGGUGAGGAACACGUAGGAACCUGCCCAAAAGAGGGGGAUAACCAAUGGAAACUUUGGCUAAUACCGCGUAAUCUCGAGAGAGAAAAGCUGCCGCAAGGUGGCGCUUUUGGAGGGGCCUGCGUCCGAUUAGCUAGUUGGUGAGGUAAUAGCUCACCAAGGCGAUGAUCGGUAACUGGUCUGAGAGGACGACCAGUCACACUGGGACGGAGACACGGCCCAGACUCGUACGGGAGGCAGCAGUGGGGAAUAUGGGACAAUGGGGGCAACCCUGAUCCAGCGAUGCCGCGUGAGUGAAGAAGGCCUUCGGGUCGUAAAGCUCUUUAGGUUGGGAAGAAGGUUGUGGGAGGAAAUGCCUGCAGCUUGACGGUACCGACAGAAUAAGCACCGGCAAACUCUGUGCCAGCAGCCGCAGUAA
rnacentral:rRNA from 1 species